rnacentral:lncRNA from 10 species
UUGGUGUUAAGCUGUGGCCUCAGCCACCUCAACAGGGCCCUGUCUGGCCAUGGAGACGUUCCCCAAGUUCCAGUCAUUGUCAGCUGCUGGGACACUGCGGUACUGAAUCAGCCCGUUGGAGUCAUCCAAGUGUGAAAAGAACACAUUGCUAUUGGAAGACCGUUCUCUAUCCUUCCACCUGGACUGGCCUCUGUCCCUCUAUCCUCAAACAUCCCCUGAGGACUCAGCGUUUCAUUCCUUGCUGCCCACGUACAGCCCUGGGGCUCUUUGCUCUGCUUCUGGGGUCUCACGCGGAACUCUGAGGAACAUGGACGGCCGUCACAGGAACCUCAGUGAGCCCCGAGCAGGCUGGACAGCAAGGGCAGGGGACUGAGGCUCAACAACCAGCCCCUCCCCCAACAGGCCAUGGCAGCUCAGCAGACACUCCCAUGCUGCCUCCCAAGGCCAAAAGAGGACGUGUUUGCAAAGGGUGUUGUCCUUCCCCUUGCCUGCAGUGAUUCAGCCAGCUGAACGAGAACUCGUGGUCACCUUAGGCAGCCACGCUGGACAAAAAAAACAACAUGCAACCAAAAGUCCCCUUUGUCCUCGUUCACAAUGCUUCUUGCCUAAAUUACCCACGUCUGCUGGAAGACUCGGGCGCAUUUCGUCUGUACCGAGAGCAAUCAGGAAGUUUGGGGUCUGUGGUGCUCCCCAGCACAGCAAGCCCCAGGGCUACAGGGGAGUCGUUAGCUCCCAGGCCAGGGCUCUGUGGACACUGCGAAGACCGGUGCCUGCUGCAGGUGGAGCAGCUGUGAGACCUCCUGGCUCGUCUUCCCAGGGAUGCGGGCUUUAAUUUUCCAUCCUGGCUGCCGUCCCCUUCCAUGACCUGCGCUUAUGAAUGGCCAUGUCCAACAAGUGGCAUCACCCCCUCCCACUGUCUCCAAGGAGCCUGCUCUGGGGAACGCUAUCUUGUUUUUCUAAAGAGCCACGUCUACAAGCAAAGAGGAAGGUGUGUGGUGCCUUCCAAAGUGCUAGCUGCCGGGAAAGGACACAUCCCUCACACCUCCUUUUUGAGCUGCAGAAAAUGCAGCUCAGAGAUGCCAAGUGAGCAUCGCACUCAGGAAUGCGCUGUGCCCUCCGUGGAGUCAGACUUUGGCCUCUUAAGCAAGAGCAGGAGAAGACGAGGGGGUGGGCAGCAGCCAGGGGCAGGCGCUGGCACAAACAGAUGAGGAUCUAAAUCCACCUGCUGGUCACACAGCCCUGAGCUGGUGCCUCGCCCCUCACAGCCCCUGCUGCAGGUAUAUAAAGCUGGGCACGGGUGGACAGGACGCAAAGCAGUGAUAUGUGCCUCCAGUCAGCCCUGAAGGCCAGGGUGGCAGCUUCCCCUAAGAACAGAGGGCGCCUGGGUGGCUGCCCCAAGAGAACAAAGCAGUGCAGACCUGCAGCUCCCCCUGCAGUGAACAGAGCUCUCUGCAAACGUUCUCUGACAGCAAUGUACCGAAAUC